rnacentral:rRNA from 1 species
UGGUGGAGUGAUUUGUCUGGUUAAUUCCGAUAACGAACGAGACUCUAGCCUGCUAAAUAGUCACUACGUAACAAUUGCGUAGCCUGACUUCUUAGAGGGAUUCGCUACUUUUAGUGGUACGAAAAUGAGCAAUAACA